AGCAGUAGCCGCGGGAAUACGAAGGGUGCAAGCGUUACUCGGAAUUACUGGGCGUAAAGCGUGCGUAGGUGGUGGUUUAAGUCCGUUGUGAAAGCCCUGGGCUCAACCUGGGAAUUGCAGUGGAUACUGGGUCACUAGAGUGUGGUAGAGGAUAGUGGAAUUUCCGGUGUAGCAGUGAAAUGCGUAGAGAUCGGAAGGAACAUCUGUGGCGAAGGCGACUAUCUGGGCCAACACUGACACUGAGGCACGAAAGCGUGGGGAGCAAACAGGAUUAGAUACCCCCUAGUCCCUGUCUCUUAUACA
rnacentral:rRNA from 1 species